rnacentral:rRNA from 1 species
UACGGGGGGGGCAAGCGUUGUUCGGAAUUACUGGGCGUAAAGGGCUCGUAGGCGGCCAACUAAGUCAGACGUGAAAUCCCUCGGCUUAACCGGGGAACUGCAUCUGAUACUGGAUGGCUUGAGUUCGGGAGAGGGAUGCGGAAUUCCAGGUGUAGCGGUGAAAUGCGUAGAUAUCGGGAGGAACAUCAGUGGCGAAGGCGGCCCUCUGGUCCAGUACUGACACUCAAGUGCGAAAGCGUGGGGAGCAAACAGG